GCUGGGUGUGGUGGUGCACACCUGUAAUCCUAGCUACUUGGGAGGCUGAGGCAGGAGAAUUGCUUGAAGCCAGGAGGUGGAGAUUGCAGUGAGCCAAGAUUGUGCCAUUGCACUCCAGCCUGGGUGACAGAGUGAGACUCUGUCUCAA
ensembl:misc_RNA Metazoa_SRP Metazoan signal recognition particle RNA